AGUGGAAGCGUCUGGAAAGGCGCGCGAUACAGGGUGACAGCCCCGUACACAAAAAUGCACAUGCUGUGAGCUCGAUGAGUAGGGCGGGACACGUGGUAUCCUGUCUGAAUAUGGGGGGACCAUCCUCCAAGGCUAAAUACUCCUGACUGACCGAUAGUGAACCAGUACCGUGAGGGAAAGGCGAAAAGAACCCCGGCGAGGGGAGUGAAAAAGAACCUGAAACCGUGUACGUACAAGCAGUGGGAGCACGCUUAGGCGUGUGACUGCGUACCUUUUGUAUAAUGGGUCAGCGACUUAUAUUCUGUAGCAAGGUUAACCGAAUAGGGGAGCCGAAGGGAAACCGAGUCUUAACUGGGCGUUAAGUUGCAGGGUAUAGACCCGAAACCCGGUGAUCUAGCCAUGGGCAGGUUGAAGGUUGGGUAACACUAACUGGAGGACCGAACCGACUAAUGUUGAAAAAUUAGCGGAUGACUUGUGGCUGGGGGUGAAAGGCCAAUCAAACCGGGAGAUAGCUGGUUCUCCCCGAAAGCUAUUUAGGUAGCGCCUCGUGAAUUCAUCUCCGGGGGUAGAGCACUGUUUCGGCAAGGGGGUCAUCCCGACUUACCAACCCGAUGCAAACUGCGAAUACCGGAGAAUGUUAUCACGGGAGACACACGGCGGGUGCUAACGUCCGUCGUGAAGAGGGAAACAACCCAGACCGCCAGCUAAGGUCCCAAAGUCAUGGUUAAGUGGGAAACGAUGUGGGAAGGCCCAGACAGCCAGGAUGUUGGCUUAGAAGCAGCCAUCAUUUAAAGAAAGCGUAAUAGCUCACUGGUCGAGUCGGCCUGCGCGGAAGAUGUAACGGGGCUAAACCAUGCACCGAAGCUGCGGCAGCGACGCUUAUGCGUUGUUGGGUAGGGGAGCGUUCUGUAAGCCUGCGAAGGUGUGCUGUGAGGCAUGCUGGAGGUAUCAGAAGUGCGAAUGCUGACAUAAGUAACGAUAAAGCGGGUGAAAAGCCCGCUCGCCGGAAGACCAAGGGUUCCUGUCCAACGUUAAUCGGGGCAGGGUGAGUCGACCCCUAAGGCGAGGCCGAAAGGCGUAGUCGAUGGGAAACAGGUUAAUAUUCCUGUACUUGGUGUUACUGCGAAGGGGGGACGGAGAAGGCUAUGUUGGCCGGGCGACGGUUGUCCCGGUUUAAGCGUGUAGGCUGGUUUUCCAGGCAAAUCCGGAAAAUCAAGGCUGAGGCGUGAUGACGAGGCACUACGGUGCUGAAGCAACAAAUGCCCUGCUUCCAGGAAAAGCCUCUAAGCAUCAGGUAACAUCAAAUCGUACCCCAAACCGACACAGGUGGUCAGGUAGAGAAUACCAAGGCGCUUGAGAGAACUCGGGUGAAGGAACUAGGCAAAAUGGUGCCGUAACUUCGGGAGAAGGCACGCUGAUAUGU
rnacentral:rRNA from 1 species